AUGUGGUAUCUUCGUAAGGGAGUUGUGUUGACCAAAGACAACCUCGCACGACGCAACUGGCCAGGGAGUAAGAAGUGUUGUUUUUGUACUCAUGACGAGGCAAUCAAACACCUCUUUUUCCAAUGCAAGUUUGCACGUUCUACGUGA
rnacentral:rRNA from 1 species